UUUACUAUACCGCAAAGAAGAAGAAAUUGUACUGGGCCGACACCUUACGAGACGGCAUUUAUGUUUGUUGUACUCGAUUACAAAAAUAAUGUGCUUGAUUUACGAAAAGAUUGGAUUACGCACUUAAAUCCAGUAAACUACUUACCCAAAACCCUGAAAUGAGAGCGCUUGGACAAUGUGAAGUUUGUCGCAUAGACGGGGAUUGACCGCCUUUGUGUAUAUAAGUCUACAACUUCUCAGAUUUGACUGAAGACAAUUGUUUGGUGUUGUGAAUAGAGAAAUAUAUGAGGUAGGGCUCUGCAGUUUUCCAUAAACACAAGAAGUUUACAUUUGUUGCACAGAGUUGAAGGAAUUGUUAUAGGAAAGGUGUACAGAAUGUAAGGAUAUGAUAGCCAAACAUCUUCCCCAGGAUUCGAUGCGGUAACCUUCUGAUAGAAAAAUGUACCCGUUGUGCAAAGGGGAUAAGCUG